CAGCCGGCGUUGAUGCAGCGAGCCUUCUCCAGCAGCAGUCGCUCUACCACCCAGGCCUCUUGGCUCCUCCUCAGAUGUCGUUGUGGCACCUCCCUUUGUAUACAUUGACCAGGUUAAGAAUUCAUUAACGCCACGAAUUGAGAUAGCUUCUCAAAACUCUUGGACUGGGAAAGGUGGAGCUUUCACUGGAGAAAUCAGGACGGCAUUGAAUUUCAAAAUUCAAUCUCUCUUCAAUUCGGCAAGAACUCCAACGGACAAAGGUUUGCUCGCGUUAGUCAAUUAAUCCGCACGUGUAAGGUUAUUCGAUGGCUGAAUCGGAGGUAAUUUUGAAGUCAUACUAUGUAAAAGAUAUUUACUUUUUAAAAAAAUGGAUGGGAUGUUAUUUAAUUUGUAAAAGUAUUGCCUUAAUCAA